UGUGGGCCCAUCUCCCCCAGGAAGGUGGUCCCAGGAACCCAGAUGGGGCCUGUGAAUCCACAGGGAUUCAGUCCAACUCACCCACAGGGAUGUUGACACUGAAGGUCCUGAGCUUACAGCCAUCUGCAGAAGAAGUUGGCACCGUCAUCCAUGCUUUGCCACUGGAAAAGGGACUUCCCAGAGAUGGGGCAGCUUUCCCCAGGUCCUCAUGCAGGCAACUGCAGGUCUUGAAGAUACUCUGACACAGGCCUGGAGUGUAUAGCACUCCUUCAUUUGCACUUCAAGCGCUCUGAAUCUGGGCAAGGACUCCAGUCUCAGAGGCAGAUUCUUCAGCAGUUUACAUCAUGCAGAAAUUAAGUUGCCAUUUGCUUGCUGGAUCUCCUACCAUGUGAGAGAUGUUUCUUCCCAAGUAACCACUCGGGUCCCAUUGCACCAAGCCACAAAGCACAGUCACCUAGGGCACAGGAUAA